CCAAUAGCGUAUAUUAAAGUUGUUGCAGUUAAAAAGCUCGUAGUUGAAUUUCGGGAUCAAUGUUUCGGUCAUGCCGUUGGUAUGUACUGAUAUUAUUGAUUUCUCACCUUCUAAAGAACCGUAAUGCCAUUAAUUUGGUGUCACGGGGAAUUAGGACUGUUACCUUGAAAAAAUUAGAGUGUUUAAAGCAGGCUCACGCUUGAAUACAUUAGCAUGGAAUAAUGAAAUAGGACAUCCGAUUCUAUUUUGUUGGUUUCUAGGAUGGAUGUAAUGAUUAAUAGGGUUGGUUGGGGGCAUUAGUAGUCAAUUGUCAGAGGUGAAAUUCUUGGAUUUAUUGAAGACUAACUACUGCGAAAGCAUUUGCCAAGGAUGUUUUCAUUAAUCAAGAACGAAAGUUAGGGGAGCGAAGACGAUCAGAUACCGUCGUAGUCUUAACCAUAAACUAUGCCGACUAGGGAUCGGAUGAUGUUAAUUUUUUAAUGACUCAUUCGGCGCCUUACG
rnacentral:rRNA from 1 species